rnacentral:rRNA from 1 species
UACUAGAGUAGCACUCGCAUAUCAAUAAGCGGAGGAAAAGAAACUAACAAGGAUUCCCCUAGUAACGGCGAGUGAAGCGGGAAGAGCUCAAAUUUGAAAUCUUAAAGGGUUUCCCUUUACGAAUUGUAGUUUAAAGAAGUGUUUUCUGUUGAGGUUUUGGUAAAAGUUCUUUGGAAUAGGACAUCAUAGAGGGUGAGAAUCCCGUAUUUGACCUUUACUUUCAACUUUGUGAUACACUUUCAAAGAGUCGGAUUGUUUGGGAAUGCAGUCCAAAAUGGGUGGUAAAUUUCAUCUAAAGCUAAAUAUUGGCGAGAGACCGAUAGCGAACAAGUACCGUGAGGGAAAGAUGAAAAGAACUUUGAAAAGAGAGUUAAGCAGUACGUGAAAUUGUCAAAAGGGAAGCGUUUGACACCAGUGUUGUUUUUCUGAAAAUCAAUUAAAGAACUGUUUAUGCUAAGUUGUUUAGACUUUAUCAGCUAUCUGUUUAGUUUUGAGCUUUUCUUUAAUGCACUUUUCAGUUAACAAGUCAACAUCAAUUUCUUUUGCUGUAAAAAAGCUUGAGGAAGGUGGCUUGAGAUUCGUCUUAAGUGUUUAUAGCCUCUUGCCUAUGCAGUCGGAGAGAUUGAGGUCUGCAGCGUAGAUCCUUCGGGGCUAAAUGCAUUUGUGCUAAGUUAUAGCAUUUUAUAGACAACUUGUUGACUAUGAUUUGUCUUGUAGCUUACUCGCUUAUGUUAUUUUACCUACGCUUAGGAUGUUGAGCGCAUGUCUCUCUCU